rnacentral:sRNA from 1 species
CUCGCCUCUCGCCGCAGUAGCAGCAGCAGUACCGGCAUCUUCGGCUCGCGCUCGCUACCUUCGCCCGCUCCGCGCAACGUGGGUGCCGCCGGGGAGCCCAGCCCGGCGCCCGACGCGUAGUCAAUCCGUCGCCCAGCAUUGGCCUGCGGCUGCCGCUCGUCCAGGGAGAGAAUCAGCACGAUCCUGUCUCUGAGCACUGCCUUCCAGGGCCCACAGGAAUACGAGAGGGCCUCCAAAGUGGACCAGUUUGUGACGCGCUUCCUGCUGCGGGAGACGGUGAGCCAGCUGCAAGCCCUGCAGAGCUCGCUGGAGGGGGCGUCAGAUACCCUGGAGGCCCAGGCCUGUGGCUGGCGGUCAGAUGCAGAGAGCGUGGAGGUGCAGAGCAGGCCCUGCGGCAGCCGGCGGGCAGGACGCCGGGCCCUGAGGAGUGUCAGCCGGUCAUCCACUUGGUCCCCCGGCUCUUCUGACACAGGGCGCAGCUCAGAGGCCGAGAUGCAGUGGCGGCUCCAGGUGAACCGCCUCCAGGAGCUCAUUGACCAGCUCGAGUGCAAGCACAUCCUCGUGGCCCAGAGGCAGGUCCAGGUGGCAGAGGAAGGCCUGCAGGACUUCCACCGAGCCCUGCGCUGCUACGUGGACUUCACAGGGGCCCAGAGCCAUUGUCUGCAUGUGUCCGCCCAGAAGAUGCCAGACGGUGCCUCCUUCGCCCUGUAUGAGUUCUGGCAGGAUGAGGCCUCCUGGAGAAGGCACCAGCAGUCGCCCGGCAGCAAGGCCUUCCAGCGCGUCCUCAUCGACCACCUGCGGGCCCCGGACACCCUCACCACUGUGUUCUUCCCAGCCUCCUGGUGGAUAAUGAAUAACAACUGAGCCAGACCUGCACACGCCGAGGGCCCCGGGACCCUGCCUGCCUCCCUCUGGAGCCUUCUGGACUGGCCAGCCCAGCGCAAAGACCAGGGCUUGUCUCCUCCUGGACCUGGGCCUGGUGGAAGGGCUCUCAGCCCAGGGAUCAGGAACUGGGC